rnacentral:tRNA from 1 species
GGACCUAUAGCUCAGCGGUACGAGCGUCGGAUUCCAGUCCCGAAGGUCACCCGUUCAAAUCGGGUUGGGUUCA